rnacentral:ncRNA from 1 species
AGAAAGGCAAGGAAAAGGAAGAGUAAAAAACGGAUGUCUUUCAGAGAGCUGCCGGCAGGUGCAAGGCAGCAGCGGAAGUUUUUGAACUGGCCUUUGAGCUUCACUGCCGAAAAGAAGAGUAGGCAGCGGCGGUUAUUUCCCCGUUAUCGGAAAAUGAGUGCGUCUGUUGAGAAAGAAGACAGAUGAAUUAGAGUGGUACCACGGAAAAUUAAGCCCUUUCGUCUCUAAG